GAUGAACGCUGGCGGCGUGCCUAAUACAUGCAAGUCGAGCGAACGGACGAGAAGCUUGCUUCUCUGAUGUUAGCGCCGGACGGGUGAGUAACACGUGGAUAACCUACCUAUAAGACUGGGAUAACUUCGGGAAACCGGAGCUAAUACCGGAUGAUAUUUUGAACCGCAUGGUUCAAAAGUGAAAGACGGUCUUGCUGUCACUUAUAGAUGGAUCCGCGCUGCAUUAGCUAGUUGGUAAGGUAACGGCUUACCAAGGCAACGAUGCAUAGCCGACCUGAGAGGGUGAUCGGCCACACUGGAACUGAGACACGGUCCAGACUCCUACGGGAGGCAGCAGUAGGGAAUCUUCCGCAAUGGGCGAAAGCCUGACGGAGCAACGCCGCGUGAGUGAUGAAGGUCUUCGGAUCGUAAAACUCUGUUAUUAGGGAAGAACAUAUGUGUAAGUAACUGUGCACAUCUUGACGGUACCUAAUCAGAAAGCCACGGCUAACUACGUG
rnacentral:rRNA from 1 species